rnacentral:piRNA from 1 species
UCCAUCACUGAAGGAACCACCGGACAGGGCU